AUUUGCUUUUCCAGUGUUUUAUAUUUAUUUUUUUUCAAGAGGAAAAAAAAACCCAAAACCGUGAAAAAGAGCAUCAGUGGAUAAUUCUGUUCACAGAUUGUUGUGAAUCUGUAAUUGUCUGCCUUUGGGAGGAAGACUUUCUGCAAAAUGGUGUAAAAGGAAAUAAGCUGAAUUCUGACUUGGGGUUUUAAUUGAGAAGGAUGAUCCUGGAAGAUUGUCAAAAUCAUGGGAGGUUGAGAGGAAAGAUGAUCAUGUGGAUCUGUCAGGGUGGUCUUAGGCUAAAAUAUUUAUUAAUUUAAGAAACUCGGGCAGAAAAUUUGAUUAUGUCUAGAUUUCAGCAACAGUGGUGUUGUUACAGCUAGGAGAGGCCUAAUAGUGCUAGUGGCGUAGAGCAUCGAGCUUGUGUCCUGAACUGCUUGACGUCUCACAGCCGUACAGAUGCCACUUCACAGCCUCUCUGAGGCCAUAAACCAGCACUCUGAGUUGGCUGUAGUUUUUCUAGCACGUAAAUGACUUCUUCAAUAUACAGAUGUUCCCAUAAGGAAAGAAGUGAUGUAUAGACAGAAUCAGAAUUUAAUGUGAUGUUAGUCGUAAAUCCUCUGUGGUAUCAAAUGUUGCAAGUCUGUGGUUUUCAAAAUAUAUUGCAACACUGAGGUUUGUGAAUUCAGGAUAUCAUCUGUGCAUAAUAUUUUGAUACUUAGUUUUUGAACAGUUGUAGUGUCAAUAAAUCCCAGCAACAUCUUUACCAGUGAGAUGCUGUAAUGUUAAGUGUUCCAUGAAUCAUUGGAAGAAGCACAUUAGUAGUUUGAUAAUGCACCAUUUGGCACUGUAUUCCAGAAGAAAAUGAGUUAGUUUGACAUUGUUGGUUUUCAUUUUCUACAAUUCUCUAUUUCAGAACAUGGAUAAUUUGUAUUUGCACUGUGAAGAGGUAGAACAGAACAGAUGUUAUAAACGUAUUUCUGUUAGCGUUUUUAGAGCAUCUUUUAAAAAAAUUAAUUUCAGCUUCUUGUAAGGACUCUGUAAAGUGCAAGAUUCUUUGCUUCUUCCUGUUACUGUAAAACUGUUUGUUAUGCUUUCAGGAACGCAGUUACUUUUAACAUCUUGUUUCACCUCAACAAAGCAAAGGCAGCAAUCCUGAAAGGGGUAUGCCUCCGAUGAACUGUCUUAGUGAAGCCAAUGAUGCUACUUGUGUGGCUCCUCUGUGGCCCUUGUUUUUACUGAAUGGACUCAGAGAGAAUUUGCUAAUCAGGGUCCCAAGGAACUGCUGUUGCUCCAGACUGUAAGCUGUCGUUCCAGAUUGACCACGAUCUUGACAUUAUGUGCUUUCCUGCCUGCUGCUCCCUGCUUGCUGUGCCUCUCUGAAUGCUCUCCCACCCACUGCACCAGAGCUGCUUCUCCAGAAAGGUCACUGCUUCUCUCUGCAGCUUCCCUGUGCUCAGAAGGCCAAAGCCAGAAUGGGGGAAAAGGUAGUCUGCCACCCUGCUUCCCACUCCAGUUGGGUGGAAUGCAUAUGUAGAGUAAGGCUGAAACAAAUCAGUGCAGUCUUUGUCCCAUUGUAGUUAUCGUUAGCUCCAAUGUUAUUUUUGCACCAGUAUUUUAAUCACAGGAUAAGAAAUCUGUUCACAAUGUAAUUAAAAUGUAAAGAUGAUAAAUAUAUAUAUAUACAAUUUUGUAAAGAAAUACCCGGCAGGAGAUUAAAAUUACAUCACUGUUUUUGCAGCAAGAUAAAAACAUCUGCAAAGUUCAUGGCUAGAAUUGCUGUGAGAAUAGGUGCUGUGUCUUAAUUGUACAAAAAUGGCACUAAUGGCAAAACCUGAAUCAUGACUGGCUUCCCCUAAAUCUAGAAUUUCUCAAGUCUGUGUUAAAGAACACAACUUAGGAACAAAUACUGACUGUUCCCUUUGCAGCGUAAUGACAGUUCAUCCUCUCAGUUUCCAGUUUGGCUUAUUUGUCUUCUAGUUUACUUUAAGGGUAUGUUACCUGUAGAUAAGCAUAUUUAGAUAAGGUGAACCUCUCAAUCAUUUUAAUUCUCAAGGAUUAAAUGAGGAAGUUUAGUUUAAUGGAAAAAUUUGAAGCUAAGUCUUCUUCUAAGAAUGAUUUAAAAUAUCAGAAUAUCUGUGAAUGAGAUAAAGCUUGUAUAUAGCUGGUCUGCACUGUGGGUAUUGAUGUAAUGACUUAGGAUGCUAACAAAAAUCUGAUCUGAUCUCUGCUAACAAAAAUCAGAUCUCAAAAUCUGAUUGAGAUCAGAUUUAGUAGUUUAAAAUUAACAAAGGAAAGGAGACUGCACAGGUAUACUUGUAUUUUAUAGGGUAGAUAUUUAGUAUUUUAAAUAUUUGAAUUUAAGAAAUCUGCUGUACAGCAUACAUGGUGUUAAGAAAAUGAAUUCUUGCCUGUUGUCCUCCAAAACAAACUAUGCAAAUACCAUUUCCUCUUCAGUGACAGCAGUGUUUUAAAUAGGGUUAACACUGUUGGUUUUUUUUUUCAGCUGCCACAACAGGGCAGCAGCAGUGAUUCCUCUCUACUAAUGGUCUUAGUAACCUCUUUGUAUGUGCCGAAUUUCAAUAGUCCAGUUUGGCCUGAGGAGCAAGGGUAAUAGCUUUACAGCAGCCUUAAAACUAUAGCUGUGUUCAGUGCAGUAGUCAGCUAUGCUCAGUAUAUUAAAUACUGAGAAAACAGCAGCAGUCUUUAUAGCACAUACAACAUGCGGUUCCUUCAUCAGAUCCAUAAAUUCUCCUCCACACAGAGUAAAACUGCCUUGAGAUUUCUGCCAGAAGUCAGAACCAAGAUGACUUGGACUAAACCCUGCUCCUCCUACUCAAAAACUAUUCCUGUAUGGGUGGUAUCCCAGGAGGAGGCACAGGAGAACAGAAUGAGGAGCAUGCACAAUUAUAUGAGCACUUCAGUGUGGAUUUUUGUUUUAAUCUUUAAUAGGAAUCUGGAAAACAAACAAACAAAAAACUAUCUGAGCCAGUAUGUAUUCAAAAAUCUACAUUUUACUGUCAUCUGGUAAAUAAUACUGUUGUCCCCAGAGUGGAGAUCAGCAAAAAUUCAUGGUUUAGGUUCAUUUUUCUUUCAAAGGAGUUGGAGGCAAAAUGAACAUUUGUAGAUUGUGUUAUGGAGGCCUGCUGUAUGUGCUUGUUCUAAUGUGAGAGAAAUUGGAAAAUACAAUUUAAAAAUAAUUUUGAAACUUUAUUGUUGGUGGUACUUUUGGGAAAAUCCAGUAGCUUUUACUGGGAAUUAGAUUUACAGGAGCCUGCAGAAUUAAGAAAAAAUGGGUAUAUAGAGCUCAUGUAGCCUUGAUCCUCUUUUAGUCCUUUAGUAUUUGUUUAUAAAACUGUAUUACAGAUGACAAAGUGUAUCUUCUGCUCUUUCAGAACUACAGGUAGCUAACAUAUUUGCAAUUGAGUAUUUUGGUUUUUAUAAUUUUGUUUAAAAUUAUUUAAUACUUUGCUGUAGGACUAGUAGAAUCUUAGAAAAAUGCUGUGAAAAGCCAGACUGCAAAUGGAGUGAGCAAUGAUGGAAUUCCCACACAUUUGGACUGGUAAAAAGUAAAAUUAAUAACAAUUAUAACUGUCAUUUUUCAUUCUCAAAAGUUCUCUUUUUUCCAGCUUCCUCUUAUGUAAUCAUAAAGAUACACAGAUUGACUCUGGCAUAAAAGUUGACAUUGUCUCGGUUUGUAAAUCUUGUGACUUUGUGUGGGCAUUCGAUGACUGCUCUUACUAUAGGCCUACUCCCAGUGAUCAAAUCCAUAGAGAAACAGGUGGGUGCAGGACACCACUGAAAGAACGCUGAACAUCUUCACUGUCGUUUAUGGUUAAAGAGAGAUGAAGGUGGUUUGCCUCUUAGCAAAUGUAGCUCUUGUGGAGUGGCAGAAAAAUGUAUGAAGAGUUAGUAAAUAACCCCAGAUGAAUACAUUAGUCAAGAGCUGUUCCUAUAUACCAACUUGUCAAGUAUUUUUUUUUUUUGGUUCAGUUUGAUGCAGCCAUCACAUGUAAUAUAUGCUAUUUUGAUUAGGAAGUAAAAUGAAACAUAAUCCUAAAUAAGUAGCUUAUAAUAUGUCUUAACAGUUAAAGGCAGUGGUUUAUAUAACACGGUGAACUUUCUGCUCAGCAAUACAUAAAAGCUAGCUUGCUCUAUUUUUCUAGCUGAUGUAUGCUCAGCACUAAUAAUAGGCCUUACGAAUCACAAGCAUUCAUUAAGUGAGCCAACAGAUGUUUUAAAGAGACAAUAGUUGAGAUCUAGACUGUUUGAAGUGAACAAGUAGAUGUUGUUAAAAAUAGUGAAUCUUUACAAAAUGUUACAGUAACGUGUUGCUUAACAUUGAAGAUGCAAAACCAGUAUGUUAAUCAGUGGAUUAGUGAAAACAUCUUUUGAGACCAAACUUAAACCUGUCUUCUUGGUUUUGAAAUGAAUUUGGAAUGCUUGACUUUCUCAUGAUUGCCCCAAGGGAAAAUAGGACAGUUUGUUUGUUUGUUUUCUCAGGAAGGCACAGUUUAGACAUAGCAUUUGGUUUUCAAUGUAGAGCUGUUUUGCACUUAGUUAUCCAGCUGGCUUGUUAAGGGUACAAUUAAAUAAAUGAUUUGCUCUGGAUCACUAAGUGAAUCAGUGACUUGACUGGGAGAAAAAAAUUGGACUGGGAAAACUGAAAAUACCAGUUCCCAUUGCAGAACAGUUUCUCAGUAGCACUUAAGUAAAUUAGAGGGAUAACUUAUUGUAUUUCACAGUCAUCCACACAAACCACCAGCAAUGUGUAGACUAAGUUCCCAUUGGUAGAGAAAUGUGGAUGCAGAAGGAGAACUGAAUGAAGUUAACUCUUCAUGUGACAGAUGUCUGAACAGAUUUAUCAGACCAAGAACAGAUGAUAAAUCAAAAUUUAUUUUUUAAAGCUAUUUGUUUUUGUAGAUAUCACUGCUAGGGGAAAGUUCAACUGAAUAAUGAAUCUUUCAUGUUUAGCUUUAUUUUACUAGCCUAGUAAAAUUGUGUAAAAAGUAAAAAGUAAAUUGUGAAUUGCAAUUCUAGGACUUUUCUCAUUUAUAAUGAUUCAACUUGGUGUGGGUUUUGAUUUUGGGUUGGCUUUUUGCUUAAUUAGUUUUUCCUAUUUUUGGCAGCGUGAAGUUUUGUCAAUACUAUCAUGCUGGUAUGAUGACACUGAUUUUUUUUUUUCCAAUAGGUUUAAUUAAUGCAAAUGGCUUUUGCCUGUUGCAUGCAUAGAUUGCUGGUUGCAAUAAUAAGAUGUCAUCUUCAGUGAUGACAGAAGGCAAUCAGGCAUGCACAUGGGCUCAUAAUUAACAUCACAGAUUUUGCUGGUAGUGUUUAGUGGUAGUAAAUGAAUAGUGAAAAUUAGCAUAUUCUGAUUUGAUUUCAGGGGCAGGAUGUGAAUGCACUCCAGUGAGGAUAAAGGCUCCUGCAACAGGUUUCAAACCUCUCCUUUCUUCCAGAUCACAGCUCUCUUCUUCAGGCCUCUCACUCCCUCCAGCAUUAUUUUUCCACCAGUUUUUCAUCUUCCUGGCCUCCCCAUUUCUUCAGGCUCAGUCUCCUGGCUAGGCCAGUGCUGGCUUUCUCCUUGGCUUGCUGCCUGAGUCCCCUGCUGAACUCAGGAUGUGGUUCUGCCAAUCUAAUUGUGGGCUGCUACUGAAAGAAGUACUCUCAUUCCUCUGACUGUCUCCCCUGGUCUCCCUUGUGAGCUGAGUCAGGGAAGUAAACUUGUAUGAUUAUAUGACUGAUUGUCUUUCAGAUCAGCUUUCUUAGUCACUUCAUGGUGUAAAAUGAAUAAUGCUAAAAAUUACAGCCAGGGUUGGAGGGGAGAGUGCAAUAAGGUGAGAAUGGACCAUCUCUUUCAGCAGCACUUCACAACUAAAGUGAGUUUCAUCAUAAAACUUUAUUUUCAGCUCCAAACUCCUUAGUGUGUCUUUCAUUGUGUGUUUCAUCUCCGCUCUGUAUCCCCUCCUCUUCAGACUCUUGAUUUGUCCUUGUCCUUUUUGCUUCUGUCUCAUUUGUGGACCAGCUGAUGCCAGCCAUCUCACCCUACAUCUUUUUCUGCCUCAGUCCUUCACUGGUCUCCUGCAGCAGACACUGUGUCUUCUCACCAGCAUGGCCCAUGGUCCAUCACUCGAUUACUGUUGGGAAAGUAUUUGCUGAAAGUGGGAGAAAAUUUGGCAGUUAAGACCUUAUUUUUAUAAACUUUUCUCAAGCCAUUUUUAAGAGGCUCUUCUACUUAGCUAUGAAAAAGCAUCUGAAAUUUGACUGCUUGUGCUAUAAAAUGGUCAAAAUUCAUGUCCUAGUAGAUAUGAAAUUCCUACCAACUGAGCUUUCCUCAUUUCAAGCUGUUUGUGUUAAAAAUAAGCUGUGAAAUAGUUUUCAACAAUAGUUUGAGAGGUUUUUUUUCCCCAACUGUAAACAAAUGCUGAAUAUCUGGGCAACAGUCUCCUUUGCGUAAUGCAAGUCAGCUCCCAUUGACUUCACAGGAGUUAUAUAUGAGAGCAGAAUCUUGUCUCUGUGAAUAAAGGAGUUUUUUCAACAGUGAGGGGGCUCUGCACAAUGAAUGCAUUUUUACCAGCCCUUUCUGAUUCACUGGCAAAGUACCAAACACAAGAACUGUUUCUGUAGUCUUUUUGCUCUCACAAUGACCGACAUUUUCUUUUUCAUUUUUAGUGGGAAGUCUUUUGUGUUGGUUUUUUUUUUCCUCGUGAAAGUUUGUCUUAUGUUUCUUGCUAUUUUGUACAAUGGAGUAGAGUAUUUCUCAGUCAUAGUAUUUUUGAAAUCGGUUCCCUCUCUGACUUUGUCAAAUACUAGUUCUUGUUUUAUUCUACCUAAGGGCAAAGAAGCAGGUUUGGGUCUGACUUAAGGAUGCAUCUCUUGCAGUUCAAACACUGGAACUGAACUGGACGGACUCCUGUGCAAGUUAUAGUAGCCAUCACUUGCCAAUGUUGUGUCUGGGGGUCAUACACCCUAGGCACACAACUGGAGAAGUGGAUGGCUUUGAAGUUAUCAGGAACUGUCUGAUGGACCUUUAAUAACACAAAAUACAUUUAUUGCGUGCCCUCUGUAGUGUCUUCUCUACUAUAGCAAAUGUGAUUCCUUUUGUAUUUUAUUUUCUCCCUAGACUUGUGCCUGACAAUUAGAAAAAUAACUCAGCAGAUAUCUUCAAAUGUUGGAAUUCUUGGUGUUAUUUUCCAUUUUUAAUGUAAUCAUACAUUAUUCUCUUAGUAGGUCAAAGUGGUUUUCUUCCCAUUGUACUUGUGAGAACAUGUAUUACUAAUUAUACUGUUAAAAGAUCAGAUGUCUAGAUAAAACUGCCCUUCCAGAGAAAUAGUGAACUGAGGACCAUUCCUAGAGCUGACUGCUCUGUGAGGCAGUGAGUGUAAGCAGUAAGAGACCCCAAACCCGACAGUCACAGAAUAUCCAUAUUCAGAACAACCAGUGUUAAUUGUUCAUUUCUCUCUGUGUAAUGCAACCAAGUAUUUCAGCACCCAUCUGACUGAACAUGGGCAAACUGUGGACAGAAGAGGCCAUCAGUGUUGUAUUCUGAACUGUGUCUGCAAGAAGAGUUUGUGGUGGCUGUGAGGACCGCUGCUCCAUCCAGAUCAGGCUGGGAUGUAUGAGGCUGCUGAGUAGUGGUGACCUCAGUGAGCUGGAGCACAUAAGGAUUGCUAUUUUAAAAAGUUAUGGUGGUUGGGGGAUGUUAGUUCCUCUGAAAUCCAGUUUUAGCUUUUAUGUGAUGUUUUGUAAAGAUUAACAUGUUUAAAUUGAUGUUUCUUUGUACACUGUACAAUAUGAUCACUCCUGAUGUUUUAUCUGAACCACCUCCCCCCAGACUCCGAGCCCAGUAAAUCCGAACGCUCAUCAGCGCGGUAUGGUGCUCUGUCCACAUCACGGUUCAGUGUGGUGCUCCAUCCAGAAAGAAGGCUGUGGGCACCAGCUGCGGACAUUCUUUAGGAGUGCAGAAAAAGCCUAUUUGAAAAACUGGGAAAAAUAACUUGGCAAAGCAGUUGUUAGAAUGGGAUAACUGACUGACGUUCAGUCUCCUGCUUGUGACAUUUAGAGGAAAGAAGAGGAAUGGGGAUGACUUAUUUUUGUUCUGAACAAGGAGUAUUUAGCUGUGCAGUGUGAAGGAGAGUAAGUGAUGAGUGAUGCGUUGUUAUUUUUCUGCUGGUUUUUUUUUUUUAUGGCUAAUGGAAUGAUUUACUGUAGCAGAAGAGAAUACUGGAAUCCAACAGGAUGCAAAUCACUUUAUAAUAUGCUUUAUGGCAUGAACUAUGCUGCAAACGUUACGGAGAUUUGAAGUAACUGU